AUUUACAAAAAUCAGGAAGUUUUUCUCUCUUUGUUUCAGCUAUCUAGAAUUCCUACUGUUAUUCAUUCAAGUAAUAUUGUGAAGCAACGAAGUCUAUAUCCAUCGGCAUAGGGAAAAACGGCAUUAUGAACGGAAACGCCAGCAACCAAGACAAUCAUGACGAUGAAAAUCUAUUUGGAAUGAAGAAAAUAACGUAUUGGGAAAUAUACGGUGUCAAACGUUUUCCGUACAGUGGGAGGCGUAGAUAUAUCCCAUCACUUUACCAAUCAUUAGAUGGAGGGAUGGUUAUCUCAAAUGACGUUUUUGGAUUGACGAUCAGACAGUUUGAACGAAUGUAUGAAGCUUGUUUAGAUAGAAGGAAAAAACAAGAACAGUGGAUACUAAACCUAAGAUAUCCUGACAAAUCUUCAAAUGAAUAUCUGGAAUACUUACAGAACUGUACAGACUGCAAUAAAGACCACUAUAAAUUGCACGGAAAGAACCCAAUGGAGAAAUACUUAUACGAACAUCUAGUAGAAACAGUUGGUAAUGAAAUAGAUAUACGAACUAGGUAACGACUAUUUAUCAUAGAAGAUAUGAUCUACAAUGCAUUUUCUUUCACUUAUACACAAAUAUCAAGUGGAAGUUUGUCAGAGGGAUUUGAUUUACCAGGCAGUGACAUAGAUAUAAUGUACGUAGUUAACGACGUAGACGUCAUACAAUAAUAUCAGACACCAAAUACAGCGUUCUACAUAUGUUAUGGAGAAAGACAUUGUACAUCCUGGAUUUACUAGACUCAAAUAGGCAGCAGAAAAGAAUGGGGAAAUCUCUCUUUGUACUAUGUGCAUGUCAAAGGAUUUAUCUAUCAAUAAAUCACUUUAUUAAUAAUUAUAAGCCAUGUAUUUCGAAUAGUCUGAUAUUUGUACACGGUCCAUGUUUAUCAGACAAAGAACAGGCAAGUGAUAU